rnacentral:rRNA from 1 species
UCCGGUGGCAAUGGCGGAGGGGCUACACCUCUUCCCAUUCCGAACAGAGAAGUUAAGCCCUCCAGCGCCGAUGGUACUGCACGGGAGACCGUGUGGGAGAGUAGGUCGCCGCCGGGA